rnacentral:rRNA from 1 species
AUACGUAGGGUGCAAGCGUUAAUCGGAAUUACUGGGCGUAAAGCGUGCGCAGGCGGUUUUGUAAGACAGUGGUGAAAUCCCCGGGCUCAACCUGGGAACUGCCAUUGUGACUGCAAGGCUGGAGUGCGGCAGAGGGGGAUGGAAUUCCGCGUGUAGCAGUGAAAUGCGUAGAUAUGCGGAGGAACACCGAUGGCGAAGGCAAUCCCCUGGGCCUGCACUGACGCUCAUGCACGAAAGCGUGGGGAGCAAACAGGAUUAGAUACCCUGGUAGUCCACGCCCUAAACGAUGUCAACUGGUUGUUGGGGAUUUAUUUUCUCAGUAACGAAGCUAACGCGUGAAGUUGACCGCCUGGGGAGUACGGCCGCAAGGUUAAAACUCAAAUG